AGUGAACGCUGGCGGUAGGCCUAACACAUGCAAGUCGAACGGCAGCACAGUAAGAGCUUGCUCUUACGGGUGGCGAGUGGCGGACGGGUGAGGAAUACAUCGGAAUCUACUUUUUCGUGGGGGAUAACGUAGGGAAACUUACGCUAAUACCGCAUACGACCUACGGGUGAAAGCAGGGGAUCUUCGGACCUUGCGCGAUUGAAUGAGCCGAUGUCGGAUUAGCUAGUUGGCGGGGUAAAGGCCCACCAAGGCGACGAUCCGUAGCUGGUCUGAGAGGAUGAUCAGCGACACUGGAACUGAGACACGGUCCAGACGCCUACGGGAGGCAGCAGUCGGGAAUAUUGGACAAUGGGCGCAAGCCUGAUCCAGCCAUACCGCGUGGGUGAAGAAGGCCUUCGGGUUGUAAAGCCCUUUUGUUGGGAAAGAAAAGCAGCAGGUUAAUACCCCGCUGUUCUGACGGUACCCAAAGAAUAAGCACCGGCUAACUUCGUG
rnacentral:rRNA from 1 species